AACGAACGCUGGCGGCAUGCUUAACACAUGCAAGUCGAACGCGUGGUCUUGGGUUCGCCUGGGGCCACGAGUGGCGCACGGGUGAGUAGCGCGUGGGAACCUGCCCUGUUGUGGGGGAUA
rnacentral:rRNA from 1 species